AAAUUGCCCGUCGGGGACUUCUUGGUCUGGUCGCGCUGACGGAAUCCGGCGGGGAGCAUGGCAUUCUGUGGACACGAUGAGAGCAGAUGAGCGGAACUGGGACCAGAGAGAUGAACUUGUGAUGGGUGCACAUUUGUGAAGAAAAGGCAUGGUAAGGGUCCCUGAGGGCAAAGGAGAGUAUAAACCCCCAUCUGACCAGGAUGAGAGCUGAAGAUCGUGUCGCUUCACACCAGUGGGCAUUGAUCUCAGUUUACAAACACACAGACACUCCACCUCUUCUCUAAUUCUUUUCACCAGCCUCUGUUGCAAAGAGGUAGCUUUAAUAACAACGUCUGUCACUCCCACGGCUAUAGUUUGUAGUUAUAGUUAUUUCCCCCCAAGUUGGUUUGCAGAAGAAAAAUAAAGUUUUAAAAACAAGUUUUGUGCACCAUAUAAUGUUA